UGAGGCGUUCAUACAGACCAAGUACACAUUUGCCUUCGUUACCCCCCUGUCCCUGCCGCCUCCAAUCCCUUCGCAUAUAGCCGCUUUUCAUUUUCCCUUUUCUACUUCCUCCACAGUUCCUUCCAAAGGUCUCGACUUUAUCCUACUUGGGCCUUAUUUUUUUACCUAUUAAGGGCCCCAAGUUGGCUCACUGCUCACUGACGAUUUCACGGCUGAAGCUCAGAACUCAGAACUAAAGCUCACGAUUUCUCAUUCUUUGCACCUGAAGUCAGAACUCAGAUGCUCACAAGUCACAAUUUCACUCUUAAAAAUCAGAACUCUACUCAGGCCUUCACGAUUUCUCAUUAUCUGCGACGGGAAAAUUGGUUUUUGGUAGUGGUGUACAUGAUACAAAGUUAGCAGCUGAGUUUUUGCCAUCUCAAGCCAACCUAUGAGCCGUGGUACUUUCCACGAGCCGUUGGUGGAACUUGUAGGUGAGGUGUCUUUGGUAGUGAAGUUGAGUUUAAGUUACGAGUGGAUUAUACAAGCCAUAGGUACUCAUAUGAGCCGUAGAUGGACGAUCGUAGAUGAUUAUAGGAGGGUGAAAGAUUUGGACUCAGACUACCGUUGAAUAGGACAAACCGUACAUUGUUCUACAGACCAUAAGACUGGUUUGUAGAAGAAAUCCUGAAAAUUGACUGAAGAUUUCUAUCCAAGAGCUGUACAAGGACCUAUGGUCCGUAGGUCACGAGUCGUAGUAUGCCGCCUAAUCCUACUUUUCCUAGAUUUGUUUUAUUUAGGAUUUGAUGUGUAUAAAUAUUCAUCAUAGGUUUUAUCUCCAGGGUGAUAUUCAUUUUGGACUUUGAGAAUUAAGCAUGAACUACUUGUGCUUUAAUUCUUGAAUUCGUGGGAUUUUAGUUAUACAUUUGAUCUUUGAUUUUGGUUUUGCAAUUCAAUUCAAGCUUCUGGAUUUCAAUACUAGUAUUGU